rnacentral:tRNA from 1 species
GUGGCAUUAGCUCAGAUGGAUAGAGUAGCGGCCUUCUAAGCCGUAGGUCGCAGGUUCGAAUCCUGCAUGCCGCG